GACGAACGCUGGCGGCGUGCCUAAUACAUGCAGGUAGAACGCACAGUUUAUACCGUAGCUUGCUACACCAUAGACUGUGAGUUGCGAACGGGUGAGUAACGCGUAGGUAACCUGCCUGGUAGCGGGGGAUAACUAUUGGAAACGAUAGCUAAUACCGCAUAAUAUUAAUUAUUGCAUGAUAAUUAAUUGAAAGGUGCAAUUGCACCACUACCAGAUGGACCUGCGUUGUAUUAGCUAGUAGGUGAGGUAACGGCUCACCUAGGCGACGAUACAUAGCCGACCAGAGAGGGUGAUCGGCCAAGCUGGGACUGAAGCACGGCCCAGACUCCUGCGGGAGGCAGCAGUAGGGAAUCUUCGGCAAUGGACGAAAGUCUGAACGAGCAACGCCGCGUGAGUGAAGAAGGUUGUCGGAUCGUAAAGCUCUGUUGUAAGAGAAGAACGGGCGUGAGAGUGGAAAGUUCACACUGUGACGGUAUCUGACCAGAAAGGGACGGCUAACUACGUG
rnacentral:rRNA from 1 species